rnacentral:tRNA from 1 species
GCCCACGUAGCUCAGUAGGUAGAGUACAUGCAUGGUAAGCAUGAGGUCACCGGUUCAAUCCCGGUCGUGGGCUCCA